GGCAUCCACAGCCUCUCUGGGCAGCUGUUCCAGCACCUCACCACUCUCACAGUAAAGAACUUCCCAACUUCCCCCUGACAUCCAACCUCAAUCUUCUCUCCUUCAGCUUGAAACCAUUUCCCCUAGUCUUGCUAUUAUCUACCCUUUCAAAGAGUUGAAUGAGGAUGUGAGGUUUGCUCCAAUCCAAACCAACAGCAAGGGCAGGAGGAGCGAGGAGAUGAGCAGUCCUUGAGGGUCUGUGCACUCUGCAGAGACAAGGAUUCUCAGCUGCCCUCGUUACCUGGCAGUCUGUGAGACACUCAGAUGAUUAAUUUUAGAUUUGCUCACAUCAGCGUUUUGUCAUCUGAGCUGUGAAAAGCAAAGCAGAGAAGUGAGAACACUGUUUGGAAACGCAUUAGUGAUCAGGGGUGCAUUGCUCCGUGUUUACAGCCUGGCCUUUGAAGUGUGCAAUGACAGCUGCACGAAGGAAAUGUCUGAUAAAAGAUCACUUUAUUUCAAGACAACAUUGUGAGGCUGCACCAAAUACAACGAGUAGGAGUGGACCAUGGGCUGAAGGCUCCUAUUCCUUACUAUCACAUUGGAUGUGUGUUACCCAGCCAGCAGGCUGCCAGGGCACUUUGGGGAUCACCGUGAGACUCUCCUUGGAUAAAGCUGAUUUCCUCCCCUGGUGGCAGCAGCGGAUGCAGAGAACAAUAGGUAUGGUGCCUGCUCAGGGAACAACUCCUGCUCCCCUGUGCCAUGCCCAGCCCUCAGCUGGGGAAUGGAGGGACCCACCCGAGGGAAAAGCCAGCUCCAGAGGAGUGGCUCGGAAAAGAACAUCGCACAAAUUCAUGGAAAGCAGUGAUUGAAUGAAGAAUGAGGUCAUGCAACUGUUCCAGGAAAGGUGCAGCCAAAAUAUGCGUUUAGAGCAGAAAUUUUUUGAAAUGGAUAAAAAUAAAAGAAUCUCAUCUCUAGAAAGAUGCAGGAGGUCAGAGGUACCUGAGGGCAAGCAGCCACAGAGCUGUGACCAUCCCCAGGAGCCCUUUUUGGUGUCUGAUCACUGAUGUGAAACUGCUUAUUGCAAAACCUGCAGCAGGACGUAUCUAGUGAUCACUGUCUCUGGGUAAUGUAGAUAAAACAUUUGCUUUUUUAUUUUUCCUUUAAUAGCGGAUGGUGAAAGAGUCUUUAAUCCUCCCAACGUGGGCUGACUGCAUCUGGUUGCUCGUUAGCAUCCACCCUGGGCCACCGCAGUCUCAGGCUCUAUUUGGGAUUACACACCUCCCCAAAAGCUGUUCUCCAGUUUGGCUUGUGUGGUUAUCCAUCCCAAAUGCAGCUCUUUACUUCUGCAAGUUUGGUCUAGCUCCUUCCAAAUUAUCACUGUGAAUUUAUUCAUAUCGUUGCUAGUCGUCUGCCUUCCAGACGCCUUGCAGCCCUCCCAGCCCGGAGUUAUUGUAAUGCACUCUUCAGUUGAUCAUCUGGGUUGCUCAUGCAAAUUUUGUAUGCCUGGGCACCAGACCCCUUGCAGUUUGGCAGAGAGAAUCCAAAGCCAUAUACUGAGCAUAAGAUGUCUCCUGUGCACUGUGUACCCACUGCAUGGCCUUCUUCUGGCUCUUGGGGGUGAACAAGAGAUGUGGGAUGAGCAGUCUCUGAGCUUUGGGGAUGCAGCAGAUCCUUUCCAUGCAAUGUCAGAGGUUAGCCAUGUUUAGCUAUUUAGAGCUUGGCAGUGUGUAGGAAGGAGGGAGAAAGCAUAAGGGACCGGCGUAUGUUCAGAUGCUCCGUAACGAUGUCAUCUGAAGAUGAUUUACGUCGGAGCUGGGACAUAUGCUGUGCUUUAUCACCGCAGUCAUCUACCAGGAUGCGUGCUGCCACCUGAUUGCAUGCCCACAUUUCUUCUUGGCUUUACACUUCACUCGUUCCCUGCAGAGGCACUGAGUGUGAGUCCUCAAGGUGAGCAAUACUGUCCCUGGGUUAUGGGAUCUCUUUGCUUUGGUCUGCACUCAUGCAGGUUGGCCUCUCGGAGCUUGCUGGGGGAGCCAAUGCACCUCUUAGCUGCCAGGUGCUAAAAUCCAUCAGAAGAAGGAUAAGGACAACUGGGGAAAAUUGAUGGCAUUAAACAUAUUGUGUUUCCUGUGAUUAGAAAUAAUCGACAUUUUUCUACAUUGUUCCUACACAUUUACCUAACUUGUUUGUAACUGUUUCCAGUGCUACACUCCUUUACUUCCCAAGCUAAUUCGUUACCUGUCCUUAAUUAACCCUGUCAUUAGGAAGGUUUCCUCAAGCGUCACCCAAGUGUGCUGCACUUUGAUCCGCCAUGUCACAUCCUACCCAUCAUAGACAAGGAGAACCAUGCACUCCUUUCUCUGAGAGGACAUUCUGUCUCUGAGGCCUAUUGGGAAGACUCCCCUCUCUCUUUUUUGCCAGUUUCCUUCAGUUCUUCCUCACUGGGUUCUGUUUUCAUCACCUUUCCUUCAGCCUAUGGGGCUCUGCCCACUUUGGAUCCUUCCAUGGUACUCCAGCUGAGAUCUCAACAGGGGUGAGCCAUGCCAAAGGGCAACUCAGUGUGCUUCACACCCAACCACUGUGUUAACUCAUCCCAUCUAAUGGGAAAGAAAAUAUUGCUGGCUCUCGUGGCUCUGUUGUAUGGGUGAAGAUGGAUAUUGUGGUGGAGAAGACCAGAGGAUGCUCCCCUUCCAGGCUGGGAAAAUGAUUUUCCAAAGUGGAAAAAGCAUCUUUCACAAUCCAGAUCUCUUGUAGCAGGGAAUUUGAUUUUGGUGAUAUUUUCAGGCUGACUUGGGUUUUAGUUUGCCUUGUUUUGCAAGGAUGAGAACAUUUUGUGCUGAUGAAAUCGUUCAGCUUAAUUGCACACUAAAAGCAUGUUGAUGUUUAUAUUAUGUGAGUAUUAAUUUUAAUCUCCAAUAUUAAUCAGUAGCAAUGUAAACAAUGUAUUGAGUAUUAUCCUUGCCAGGCUCUAUUUGUAUAUAAUUCAAUAUUUACAACAGGUGUUUAAUAUUUUGUAUUGUGUGAUAACAUUUCUCUGUCACUGUUCAUCAGGGACAGGAAAAGAAAGAAAGGGUUUAAAGUGCAGUGAGGGAGUUUAAAUUAAAUUCCAGGAGCAUUUUCCUUA
rnacentral:lncRNA from 1 species